rnacentral:rRNA from 1 species
AACGAACGCUGGCGGCAUGCCUAACACAUGCAAGUCGAACGAGACCUUCGGGUCUAGUGGCGCACGGGUGCGUAACGCGGGGGAACCUGCCCUUAGGUUCGGAAUAACUCCCCGAAAGGGGUGCUAAUACCGGAUAAUUUCUUCGGACCAAAGAUCUAUCGCCUUUGGAUGGGCCCGCGUUGGAUUAGCUAGUUGGUAGGGUAAAAGCCUACCAAGGCGACGAUCCAUAGCUGGUCUGAGAGGAUGAUCAGCCACACUGGGACUGAGACACGGCCGAGACUACUACGGGAGGCAGCAGAGGGGGAUAUUGGACAGUGGGCGAAAGCAUGAUCCAGCAAGGCCGGGUGAGUGAUGAAGGCCUUAGGGUUGUAAAGCUCUUUUACCCGGGAUGAUAAUGACAGUACCGGGAGAAUAAGCUCCGGCUAACUCCGUG